rnacentral:rRNA from 1 species
UACGUAGGGGGCGAGCGUUGUCCGGAAUCAUUGGGCGUAAAGCGCGUGUAGGCGGCUUGGUAAGUCUGGUGUGAAACCUUGGGGCUCAACCCCAAGCCUGCACUGGAUACUGCCUGAUUUGAGUCCGGGAGGGGAGAGCGGAAUUCCUAGUGUAGCGGUGAAAUGCGCAGAUAUUAGGAAGAACACCGGUGGCGAAGGCGGCUCUCUGGAACGGUACUGACGCUGAGACGCGAAAGCGUGGGGAGCGAACAGGAUUAGAUACCCUGGUAGU